UAGAUGCGAGAGUAGAGCAUAUCAAUAAGCGGAGGAAAAGAAACUAACAAGGAUUCCCUUAGUAACGGCGAGUGAAGCGGGAAGAGCUCAAAUUUGAAAUCUUCAAGGUUCUACCUUGACGAAUUGUAGUUUAAAGAAGUGUUUUAUCUGUUAGAUGAGUAGCAAAAGUUCCUUGGAAUGGGACAUCAUAGAGGGUGAGAAUCCCGUAUUUGGUUAUUCAUUCUAGCUUUGUGAUACACUUUCAAAGAGUCGGAUUGUUUGGGAAUGCAGUCCAAAAUGGGUGGUAAAUUUCAUCUAAAGCUAAAUAUUGGCGAGAGACCGAUAGCGAACAAGUACCGUGAGGGAAAGAUGAAAAGAACUUUGAAAAGAGAGUUAAACAGUACGUGAAAUUGUCAAAAGGGAAGCGUUUGACACCAGUGUUGUUUUUCUCGAAAAUCAAUUACGAAUGGCUUGAUUUUGUGUUGUAUUGACCUUAUCAGCUUUCUGCACUUUUUUCGAGUCUUUCUUAAUGCACCUUUUCGGUUAACAAGUCAACAUCAAUUUCUUUUGUUGUAAAAGAGUAUUCGGAAGGUGGCUUUCUUUUCGGAGAAAGUGUUUAUAGCCCUAUACUUCUACAAUCGGAGAGAUUGAGGUCUGCAGCGUAGAUCCUUCGGGGUUAGAUACAUUUGUGCUAAGUUGUAGCUUUUCAUAGACAACUUGUUGACUAUGUUUAGUCAUGCGGCUUACUCGCUUAUGCUAUUUUACCUACGCUUAGGAUGUUGAGCGCAUGUCUCUCUCU
rnacentral:rRNA from 1 species